rnacentral:lncRNA from 1 species
AUAAGCUACUUUCAUAAACUUUACAAGAUGAAUUAUAAUUACUACUUUUAGUUUUUGAAAUAUUUUCUUCGCAAGCUUCACAAAUGCUAGUAAAAAUUGAUGCCAUACCUAUUCGUUUUUCCGAAAGUUCCAACGAUUUCUGUCCACAUUCUGGACAUGCCAAAGGUUUUAUUAGAUAUUUCGGUGAUUCCAUAGAAACAAUUCUAUAUUCCGAUUCACAUUGAUUUGUAGAUGAAUAAUCAAAUGAUUGUUCAGAAAAAUAAUUAUGCUUCUUUAUUGCUGCUGAUUGACUUCAACAUUUUCAAAAUUAGAAACAAGAUCAAGACUCAUAAUUGACAAUUCAUUAUUUGUUGAUGUUUCCUCUAUGACUUUUUUUCGUUUUCCUCCCUUAAAUCCUCUUGAUUUGGAUGAUCUUUUACUUUUUCCAAAUGCUUCUGUCGUUUUACGUUACCAUAAUGAAAAAUUAAAAAUAAAUGAGCAAAAUCUGCUAAAAACUAUCUUUCAACACUCCAAAACAAAGUGGCACAUGGUAAUAUCGUCAGCAAAAGCAGAUCACAAUUGCACAUGCCCAGUGACAUCGGACCAAUGAACGUAGUGCAAAUUUCAAGUGUCCAAUAAGGAAUCGAGAAACAUCGGAAGACGACCAAUAAAAUGCCUUAUUACAACUAAUACACAUCUUUGUUCCCGAAAUAGACAACGAAGCGGGAAAGACAAAUUGAACAAGCUUUACAACGAUAUGCGACAUGCGCCGCCAUUUUGAAUAGAAACGAAGCAUGUCGGCGGCAAAUUUUGAUAAAAACAACGAUUUAGCAGACGACACAAGGGGAUAUUUAACUUAAUAUUUUAAUUAUGGAGUUAAUAUUUAGAUUUGCGACAUAAUUUUUAUAUCAAACGAUACAGGAGAAUUCACAGUUUG